UACGAAGGGGGCUAGCGUUGCUCGGAAUUACUGGGCGUAAAGGGAGCGUAGGCGGACUGUUAAGUUAAGAGGUGAAAGCCCAGGGCUCAACCUUGGAAUUGCCUUUGAUGACUGGCAGUCUUGAGUACGGAAGAGGUAUGUGGAACUCCGAGUGUAGAGGUGAAAUUCGUAGAUAUUCGGAAGAACACCAGUGGCGAAGGCGGCUCACUGGACUGGUAUUGACGCUGAUGUGCGAAAGCGUGGGGAGCAACAGG
rnacentral:rRNA from 1 species